rnacentral:snoRNA from 1 species
CUGCAGCCAAUUAAGCCGACCAUCACUUGUUGCCAUCGAUUGAUGGUGUGCAAUGGCUGCGCACAGGAACCUCCCUGGCUGUGUAUGUGCAUUGCUAUCCAUGCAAUGUACUCUAAGGGGCCUCGGAGACAAUG